UUGGAGCCGUCCUUGAAAUACCACCCUUGUAUGUUUGAUGUUCUAACUUAGACCCAUUAUCUGGGUUGAGGACAGUGCCUGGUGGGUAGUUUGACUGGGGCGGUCUCCUCCCAAAGAGUAACGGAGGAGCACGAAGGUGGGCUAAUCACGGUUGGACAUCGUGAGGUUAGUGCAAUGGCAUAAGCCCGCUUAACUGCGAGAAUGACGGUUCGAGCAGGUGCGAAAGCAGGUCAUAGUGAUCCGGUGGUUCUGUAUGGAAGGGCCAUCGCUCAACGGAUAAAAGGUACUCCGGGGAUAACAGGCUGAUACCGCCCAAGAGUUCAUAUCGACGGCGGUGUUUGGCACCUCGAUGUCGGCUCAUCACAUCCUGGGGCUGAAGUCGGUCCCAAGGGUAUGGCUGUUCGCCAUUUAAAGUGGUACGCGAGCUGGGUUUAGAACGUCGUGAGACAGUUCGGUCCCUAUCUGCCGUGGGCGUUGGAAGAUUGAAGGGGGCUGCUCCUAGUACGAGAGGACCGGAGUGGACGAACCUCUGGUGUUCGGGUUGUGUCGCCAGACGCAUUGCCCGGUAGCUAAGUUCGGAAUUGAUAAGCGCUGAAAGCAUCUAAGCGCGAAGCGAGC
rnacentral:rRNA from 1 species